rnacentral:rRNA from 1 species
GACGAACGCUGGCGGCGUGCUUAACACAUGCAAGUCGAACGGUAAGGCCCUUCGGGGUACACGAGUGGCGAACGGGUGAGUAACACGUGGGUGAUCUGCCCUGCACUUCGGGAUAAGCCUGGGAAGCUGGGUCUAAUACCGGAUAGGACCACUGCCCGCAUGGGUGGUGGUGGAAAGCUUUUGCGGUGUGGGAUGGGCCCGCGGCCUAUCAGCUUGUUGGUGGGGUGAUGGCCUACCAAGGCGACGACGGGUAGCCGGCCUGAGAGGGUGACCGGCCACACUGGGACUGAGAUACGGCCCAGACUCUUACGGGAGGCAGCAGUGGGGAAUAUUGCACAAUGGGCGCAAGCCUGAUGCAGCGACGCCGCGUGAGGGAUGACGGCCUUCGGGUUGUAAACCUCUUUCAGCACCGACGAAGCGCAAGUGACGGUAGGUGCAGAAGAAGGACCGGCCAACUACGUGCCAGCCGCCGCGGUAA